rnacentral:rRNA from 1 species
UCCGUAGGCGGUUUGAUAAGUCAGUGGUGAAAGCCCAUCGCUCAACGAUGGAACGGCCAUUGAUACUGUCAGACUUGAAUUACUGGGAAGUAACUAGAAUAUGUAGUGUAGCGGUGAAAUGCUUAGAUAUUACAUGGAAUACCAAUUGCGAAGGCAGGUUACUACCAGUGGAUUGACGCUGAUGGACGAAAGCGUGGGGAGCGAACAGGAUUAGAUACCCUGGUAGUCCACGCCGUAAACGAUGGAUACUAGCUGUUCGGAGCAAUCUGAGUGGCUAAGCGAAAGUGAUAAGUAUCCCACCUGGGGAGUACGUUCGCAAGAAUGAA